rnacentral:rRNA from 1 species
CGAGAAGACCCUAUGGAGCUUUAGACACAAAGACAGAUCAUGUCAAACACCCCACAAUAAAGGCCCAAACUUAAUGAUCUCCUGUCCUAAUGUCUUCGGUUGGGGCGACC